GUCGAUUUGAAUUUGGCGUGAUACCAGAAAGAUCUUUUGAGGUUUAUAUAUGACCUUCAAAGGCUGAAGCUGCAAAUUCUGAUGAGGGCCUACUUGGAACUCGGUGUUUGGGGUGUGGAGCACAGUUCUGGGUUCUCUUCUCAGUUCACAACUCCACCAGAGCACCACUCCAAGCCACACAUGUCUGCCCAUCGUGUGUCUUUCAUUCCAAAGUGCAUUGUGACUCACUGAGAACAUCAGUCCCUGCUCCAGAACAUUCUAGACCCUCCACUUAGGAGGAUUUGAUAACACCCGUGGGAAAGAAACAAGACUGUACAGCCCUGCUUUUUGUAGCCUUCUCUUAGCAGCCUGUGCCACAGGAAGUGCGGUGUCGCAUGGCGUCUGAAAUGCUAUUUUUAAAGGCAUUGGAAUGAAAAGGCUGGGAACGGCGCUCGGUCGGUAGAGUGCUCGCUAUACAAGCAUGAGGAACAGAGUUUGAUCCCCAGCAUCCACAUAAAAAAAGGUGGUCGGAGCAGCAUGUCCUUGUAGUCCCAGCAGAUGAGAGGCAGAGACUGGCAGACCUCUGGCACUCGCUAGGCAUCCAGCAGCCA
rnacentral:lncRNA from 1 species